rnacentral:rRNA from 1 species
AGUCAAUAGAUACCCGGGUAGUCCACGCCGUAAACGAUGAGUACUAGGUGUAGGAGGUAUCGACUCCUUCUGUGCCGCAGUUAAACACAAUAAGUACUCCGCCUGGGAAGUACGGUCGCAAGAUUAAAACUCAAAGGAAUUGACGGGGGCCCGCACAAGCAGCGGAGCAUGUGGUUUAAUUCGAAGCAACGCGAAGAACCUUACCUAGACUUGACAUCUCCUGAAUAGCGCAGAGAUGCGUGAAGCCCUUCGGGGCAGGAAGACAGGUGGUGCAUGGUUGUCGUCAGCUCGUGUCGUGAGAUGUUGGGUUAAGUCCCGCAACGAGCGCAACCCUAUUAUUAGUUGCUACCAUUAAGUUGAGCACUCUAAUGAGACUGCCCGGGUUAACCGGGAGGAAGGCGGGGAUGACGUCAAAUCAUCAUGCCCCUUAUGUCUAGGGCUACACACGUGCUACAAUGGUGAGGACAACGAGAUGCAAUACCGCGAGGUGGAGCAAAACUUGAAAACUC